UUGUUCCAUUAAAAAUUUUCC
ensembl:piRNA 21ur-8347 ncRNA